AUCCCUGAGUAAAGUGCGCGCACGGGUGAGUAACACGUGACUAACCUACCCUGGAGUGGGGGAUAACUGAGGGAAACCUUAGCUAAUACCGCAUAAUACCUACGGGUCAAAGGAGCAAUUCGCUUCAGGAGGGGGUCGCGGCCGAUUAGUUAGUUGGCGGGGUAAUGGCCCACCAAGACGAUGAUCGGUAUCCGGCCUGAGAGGGCGCACGGACACACUGGAACUGAAACACGGUCCAGACUCCUACGGGAGGCAGCAGUGGGGAAUUUUGCGCAAUGGGGGAAACCCUGACGCAGCAACGCCGCGUGGAGGAUGAAGUACUUCGGUACGUAAACUCCUUUCGAUCGGGACGAUAAUGACGGUACCGGAAGAAGAAGCCCCGGCUAACUUCGUGCCAGCAGCCGCGGUAAUACGAGGGGGGCAAGCGUUGUUCGGAAUUAUUGGGCGUAAAGGGUGCGUAGGCGGUUUGGUAAGUCUCUUGUGAAAUUUAUGGGCUCAACUCAUAAACUGCAAGGGAAACUGCCGGGCUUGAGUGU
rnacentral:rRNA from 1 species